rnacentral:tRNA from 1 species
GUAGACGUUAGCUCAGUAGUUAGAGCACAGGCCUCUGGCUCUUGGGUCCGCGAGUUCGAGUCCCGUCGUCUACU